GAUGAACGCUGGCGGCGUGCUUAACACAUGCAAGUCGAACGAAACACCUUAUUUGAUUUUCUUCGGAACUGAAGAUUUGGUGAUUGAGUGGCGGACGGGUGAGUAACGCGUGGGUAACCUGCCCUGUACAGGGGGAUAACAGUCAGAAAUGACUGCUAAUACCGCAUAAGACCACAGCACCGCAUGGUGCAGGGGUAAAAACUCCGGUGGUACAGGAUGGACCCGCGUCUGAUUAGCUGGUUGGUGAGGUAACGGCUCACCAAGGCGACGAUCAGUAGCCGGGUUGAGAGAGUGAACGGCCACAUUGGGACUGAGACACGGCCCAAACUCCUACGGGAGGCAGCAGUGGGGAAUAUUGCACAAUGGGGGAAACCCUGAUGCAGCGACGCCGCGUGAGUGAAGAAGUAUUUCGGUAUGUAAAGCUCUAUCAGCAGGGAAGAAAAUGACGGUACCUGACGAAGAAGCCCCGGCUAACUACGUG
rnacentral:rRNA from 1 species